rnacentral:rRNA from 1 species
AUUGAACGCUGGCGGCAUGCUUUACACAUGCAAGUCGAACGGCAGCGCGGGCUUCGGCCUGGCGGCGAGUGGCGAACGGGUGAGUAAUGCAUCGGAACGUGCCCAGUAGUGGGGGAUAGCCCGGCGAAAUCCGGAUUAAUACCGCAUACGACCUGAGGGUGAAAGCGGGGGACCGAAAGGCCUCGCGCUAUUGGAGCGGCCGAUGUCGGAUUAGCUAGUUGGUGGGGUAAAGGCUUACCAAGGCGACGAUCCGUAGCUGGUCUGAGAGGACGACCAGCCACACUGGGACUGAGACACGGCCCAGACUCCUACGGGAGGCAGCAGUGGGGAAGUUUGGACAAUGGGGGCAACCCUGAUCCAGCCAUGCCGCGUGCGGGAAGAAGGCCUUCGGGUUGUAAACCGCUUUUGUUGGGGAAGAAAUCCUCUGGGCUAAUACCCCGGGGGGAUGACGGUACCGGAAGAAUAAGCACCGGCUAACUACGUG